UACGGGGGGGCAAGCGUGUUCGGAAUUACUGGGCGUAAAGGGCUCGUAGGCGGCCAACUAAGUCAGACGUGAAAUCCCUCGGCUUAACCGGGGAACUGCGUCUGAUACUGGAUGGCUUGAGUUUGGGAGAGGGAUGCGGAAUUCCAGGUGUAGCUGGUGAAAUGCGUAGAUAUCUGGAGGAACACCGGUGGCGAAGGCGGCAUCCUGGACCGGUAUUGACGCUGAGGAGCGAAAGCCAGGGGAGCAAACGGG
rnacentral:rRNA from 1 species